rnacentral:ncRNA from 1 species
GAUAAGAUGUAAGAAGAUACCUUCCCAAAAAUCAAUUGGAGGGCAAGUCUGGUGCCAGCAGCCGCGGUAAUUCCAGCUCCAAUAGCGUAUAUUAAAAUUGUUGCAGUUAAAACGCUCGUAGUUGAACUUCAAGGGUAUUAUUAUUUUAAGUAACUCACUUGGCGAGAAUCUUGGCUCCGCCUCGAUAUCUUCAUGCCUUGUUGUAGUUCUUUUAAUUACAGACCCUUUGAGAGCCCAAUGAUUUAUCACUGGGUUUCUCGUUACUUUGAGUAAAUUAGAGUGUUCAAAGCAAACAGUUAAAGCGUUUUCGCGUUUGAAUACUAUAGCAUGGAAUAACAAAAUUGAACAAGUCAAAUUUUUUGUUCUUUUUUCUUAUUUUGGCUUAGUUACGAUUAAUAGGAGUAGCUGGGGG